rnacentral:rRNA from 1 species
AGGACGAACGCUGGCGGCGCGCCUAACACAUGCAAGUCGAGCGAGAACCAGUCCUUCGGGACUGGGGACAGCGGCGAACGGGUGAGUAACACGUGGGUAAUCUGCCCUCGGUUUCGGGAUAGCCCGGGGAAACCCGGAUUAAUACCGAAUGGCCUCUCGAGCUCUCGGGCUCGAGAGAAAAGGUAGCUUCGGCCUCUGACCGAGGAUGAGCCCGCGGCCGAUUAGCUAGUUGGUGGGGUAAUGGCCCACCAAGGUAACGAUCGGUAGCUGGUCUGAGAGGACGAUCAGCCACACUGGACUGAGACACGGCCCAGACUCCUACGGGAGGCAGCAGUGGGAAUCUUGCGCAAUGGGCGAAAGCCUGACGCAGCGACGCCGCGUGCGGAAGAAGGCCUCGGUUGUAACCGCUUCAGGAGGAGAAGCCACUCGGUUAAUAGCCAGAGGUGACGGUACCUCCAGAAGAACGCCCGGACAACGUACGUGCCAGCAGCCGGC